rnacentral:rRNA from 1 species
AUUGAACGCUGGCGGCAGGCCUAACACAUGCAAGUCGAGCGGAGUGGCGGACGGGUGAGUAAUGUCUGGGAAACUGCCCGAUGGAGGGGGAUAACUACUGGAAACGGGCGCUAAUACCGCAUACUAUCAGAUGAGCCUAGGUCGGAUUAGCUAGUUGGUGGGGUAAAGGCCUACCAAGGCGACGAUCCGUAACUGGUCUGAGAGGAUGAUCAGUCACACUGGAACUGAGACACGGUCCAGACUCCUACGGGAGGCAGCAGUGGGGAAUAUUGGACAAUGGGCGAAAGCCUGAUCCAGCCAUGCCGCGUGGGUGAAGAAGGCCUUCGGGUUGUAAAGCCCUUUUGUUGGGAAAGCGGUACCCAAAGAAUAAGCACCGGCUAACUUCGUGCCAGCAGCCGCGGUAAUUC